rnacentral:rRNA from 1 species
AGGACGAACGCUGGCGGCGUGCCUAACACAUGCAAGUCGAGCGGAGUUAACAAGAGGAAGUUUCGGAUGGAAUUUGUAAUUAGCGGCGGACGGGUGAGUAACGCGUGAGCGACCAACCUUGCACAGGGGGAUAACGGACCGAAAGGUUCACUAAUACCGCAUGAGACCACGGUGUUGCAUGACACAGAGGUCAAAGGAGCAAUCCGGUGCAAGACGGGCUCGCGUCCGAUUAGGUAGUUGGUGGGGUAAUGGCCCACCAAGCCUAUGAUCGGUAGCCGACCUGAGAGGGUGAUCGGCCACAUUGGAACUGAGAUACGGUCCAAACUCCUACGGGAGGCAGCAGUGGGGAAUAUUGGGCAAUGGGGGAAACCCUGACCCAGCAACGCCGCGUGAAGGAAGAAGGUUUUCGGAUUGUAAACUUCUGUCCUUGGUGAAGAGAAGAAGACGGUAGCCAAGGAGGAAGCCCCGGCUAACUACGUGCCAGCCGCCGC